rnacentral:rRNA from 1 species
GACGAACGCUGGCGGCGUGCUUAACACAUGCAAGUCGAACGCUGAAGCACCAGCUUGCUGGUGUGGAUGAGUGGCGAACGGGUGAGUAAUACGUGAGUAACCUGCCCUUGACUCUGGGAUAAGCCCGGGAAACUGGGUCUAAUACUGGAUGCUACAUGUCACCGCAUGGUGGUGUGUGGAAAGGGUUUACUGGUCUUGGAUGGGCUCACGGCCUAUCAGCUUGUUGGUGAGGUAAUGGCUCACCAAGGCGACGACGGGUAGCCGGCCUGAGAGGGUGACCGGCCGCACUGAGACUGGGACACGGCCCAGACUCCGACGGGCGGCAGCAGUGGGGAAUAUUGCACGAUGGGGGAAAGCCUGAUGCAGCGAAGCCGCGUGGGGGAUGACGGCCUUCGGGUUGUAAACCUCUUUCAGCAGGGAAGAAGCAACGAGUGACGGUACCUGCAGAAGAAGCGCCGGCUAACUACGUG